ACAGCCACAUCACAUUGAAACACCAGUUCGCCUUUAAUCACCAGUUAAGCAAUGUCGAGCCUGAUCAGUACCUAGAUGGGUAACCACUUGGGAAUACCAGGUGA